rnacentral:lncRNA from 10 species
UAGAGACGAGGUUUCACCGUGUUAGCCAGGAUGGUCUCGAUCUCCUGACCUCGUGAUCCGCCCGCCUCCACCUCCCAAAGUGCUGGGAUUACAGGCGUGAGCCCCCGCGCCCGGCCAAGAAUUUCUAAAGGCUCCUUCACAGACCCCAGCUGAGGAAAAUUAUGAAGUCCUGCAACAAGGUGAUCUUGAUGCUGCUGGUCCAGGGACCAUUCUUUGAGAGCCUGUGUGGGGAAAUGAGAGAACUGGAUAUAACCCACAUUUUCAGAACUCGAGACAAAUCCUAUUAGUAAAUUUCACUGGAAAAUGUUUCUCCCACUUACUAGGUAUGUGUUGUUAGGCAAGUGUGUCUUUAACUUUCCUAAGUAUGCUUUCGUAUCUAUAAAAUAAGGGUGUUGGCCGGGCGCGGUGGCACACGCCUGUAAGCCCAGCACGUUGGGAGGCCGAGGCAAGUGAAUCACGAGGUCAGGAGUUCGAGACCAACCUGGGCAACAUGGUGGAACCCUGUCUCUACUAAAAACACAAAAAAUUAGCUGCACGUGGUGGCAGGCGCCCAUAAUCCCAACUACUCUGGAGGCUGAGGCAGGAGAAUUGCUUGAACUUGGGAGGCGGAGGUUGCAGUGAGCCGAGACCGUGACAUUGUACUCCAGCCUGGGCGACGAGAACAAGACUCCAUCUCAAAAAAAUAAAAUAAGGGUAUGGCUGGGCAUGGGUGGCUCAUGCCUGUAAUCCCAACACUUUGGGAGGCUGAGGCAGGAGGAUCACUGGAGCCUAGGAGUUCAAGACCAGCCUGGGCAAAACAGUGAGACCCCAUCUCUUUUUUUUUUUUUUUCCUUUGAGACAGAGUCUCCCUUUGUCACCCAGGCUGGAGUGCGAUCUCAGCUCACUGCAACCUCCACCUCCUGAAUUCAAGCGAUUUUUCUGCCUCAGCCUCCCAAGUAGCUGGGAUUACAGGCACCUGCCACCAAGCCUGGCUAAUUUUUGUAUUUUUAGUAGAGACGAGGUUUCAUCAUGUUGGCCAGGCUGGUCUGGAACUCUUGACCUCAAGUGAGUGAUCUGCCCACCUCUACCUCUCAAAGUGUUGGGAUUACAGGCGUGAGCCACUGCACCCAGCCAGUGAGACCCCAUCU